CAGUCGCCGCGGUAAUACAGAGGGUGCGAGCGUUAAUCGGAUUUACUGGGCGUAAAGCGUGCGUAGGCGGCUAAUUGAGUCGGAUGUGAAAUCCCCGAGCUUAACUUGGGAAUUGCAUUCGAUACUGGUUAGCUAGAGUGUGGGAGAGGAUGGUAGAAUUCCAGGUGUAGCGGUGAAAUGCGUAGAGAUCUGGAGGAAUACCGAUGGCGAAGGCAGCCAUCUGGCCUAACACUGACGCUGAGGUACGAAAGCAUGGGGAGCAAACAGGAUUAGAUACCCAGUAGUCCCUGUCUCUUAUACA
rnacentral:rRNA from 1 species